rnacentral:rRNA from 1 species
GACGAACGCUGGCGGCGUGCUUAACACAUGCAAGUCGAGCGGAAAGGCCACUUCGGUGGUACUCGAGCGGCGAACGGGUGAGUAACACGUGAGUAAUCUGCCCCUGGCUUUGGGAUAGCCACCGGAAACGGUGAUUAAUACCGGAUAUGACCACUUCACGCAUGUGAUGGUGGUGGAAAGUUUUUCGGCCAGGGAUGUGCUCGCGGCCUAUCAGCUUGAUGGUGAGGUAAUGGCUCACCAUGGCUUCGACGGGUAGCCGGCCUGAGAGGGUGACCGGUCACACUGGGACUGAGACACGGCCCAGACUCCUACGGGAGGCAGCAGUGGGGAAUAUUGGACAAUGGGCGGAAGCCUGAUCCAGCAACGCCGCGUGAGGGAUGACGGCCUUCGGGUUGUAAACCUCUUUCGCCUAUGACGAAGCGCAAGUGACGGUAAUAGGUAAAGAAGCACCGGCCAACUACGUGCCAGCAGCCGCGGUAACAC